rnacentral:misc_RNA from 1 species
UUGCUAACCCUAGAAUUCUACGCUUUUUCUCCAGCGAAGCUCCUAAGAAGAAGAAUUAUGAGAACUUCUAUCCCAAGGAAAAGAAGGAAGUCCCGAAAGGGAAUGAGCAGAAAUCUGAAUCCAAAGAUGAUUCAAAUGCGGAUGAUGACUGGAACUUUCAGAAAACAUUCAUUAAGCAAUUCAAUUUACUUACCCCUUUACUAGUGAUUGGGAUACUUCUUUCUUCUUUCUCUUUUGGUCCUACUGAACAGCAACAGAUUAGUUUCCAAGAAUUCAAAAACAAGCUUCUGGAACCAGGUUUGGUUGACCAUAUAGUUGUUUCCAAUAAAUCAGUUGCUAAAGUGUAUGUAAGGAGCUCACCUCAGAAUCAAACUAGUGACGAUGUUGUGCAAGGUCCCAUUAAUGGUGCCCCUGCUAGAGGACAUGGGGGCCAAUAUAAAUACUACUUCAAUAUUGGAAGUGUUGAAUCUUUUGAGGAGAAGUUAGAGGAAGCCCAAGAAGCACUAGGGAUAGAUCCUCAUGACCAUGUUCCUGUUACGUAUGUAUCUGAAAUGGUUUGGUACCAAGAAUUAAUGAGGUUUGCACCAACACUCUUGCUUUUGGGAACCCUUAUGUACAUGGGACGGAGAAUGCAAGGUGGAUUAGGUGUUGGUGGUGGUGGUGGUAAGGGUGGUCGUGGAAUAUUCAACAUAGGGAAGGCCCAUGUAACCAAAGUGGAUAAAAAUGCUAAAAAUAAGGUUUACUUUAAAGAUGUUGCUGGUUGUGAUGAGGCAAAACAAGAAAUCAUGGAGUUUGUGCACUUCCUCAAGAACCCAAAGAAGUACGAGGAAUUGGGAGCUAAAAUUCCUAAAGGUGCCCUUUUGGUAGGUCCUCCAGGGACUGGAAAGACCCUUCUAGCAAAGGCAACUGCAGGAGAAUCUGGCGUGCCUUUCCUGUCCAUUUCUGGUUCAGAUUUCAUGGAGAUGUUUGUUGGCGUUGGACCUUCUAGAGUGAGAAAUUUGUUUCAAGAAGCAAGGCAGUGUGCUCCUAGUAUUAUAUUUAUUGACGAGAUUGAUGCAAUUGGCAGAGCGAGGGGGCGUGGGGGCUUCUCAGGUUCCAAUGAUGAGCGGGAAAGCACCCUUAAUCAGUUGUUGGUAGAAAUGGAUGGCUUUGGAACUACUUCUGGUGUUGUUGUUCUUGCUGGCACUAAUAGGCCAGACAUUUUAGACAAGGCUUUGUUGAGGCCGGGCCGAUUUGAUCGCCAAAUUUCCAUUGAUAAACCUGAUAUUAAAGGCCGUGAACAGAUUUUUAAUAUCUACUUGAAAAAAAUAAAACUCGAUCAUGAGCCAUCAUAUUACUCUCAAAGGCUUGCAGCCCUCACUCCUGGAUUUGCUGGGGCAGAUAUUGCAAAUGUAUGUAAUGAAGCUGCUCUAAUUGCUGCUAGGAAUGAAGGGUCACAGAUCACAAUGGAACAUUUUGAGGCAGCAAUAGAUAGAAUCAUUGGUGGUUUGGAGAAGAAGAACAAGGUAAUUAGCAAGCAGGAACGCCGGACUGUUGCUUAUCAUGAAUCAGGCCAUGCUGUUACUGGAUGGUUCUUGGAACACGCAGAACCCCUUUUGAAAGUGACAAUUGUUCUAUCACGUGGUACUGCUGCACUUGGAUUUGCGCAAUAUGUUCCUAAUGAAAACCUUCUUUUGACCAAGGAGCAGCUUUUUGAUAUGACAUGCAUGACCCUUGGUGGUCGGGCAGCUGAGCAGGUUUUGUUGGGGAAAAUCUCAACAGGAGCUCAAAAUGACCUGGAGAAGGUAACAAAGAUGACCUAUGCCCAAGUAGCAGUGUACGGCUUCAGUGACAAGGUGGGUCUCCUGUCCUUCCCUCAAAGGGAAGAUACAUUUGAGAUGUCCAAGCCCUACAGCAGCAAGACUGGGGCACUUAUUGAUAGUGAAGUGCGAGAGUGGGUGGGCAAGGCGUAUGAACGGACAGUCCAACUUGUAGAAGAACACAAAGAGCAAGUGGCUGAGAUUGCUGAGUUGUUGCUUGAAAAGGAGGUUCUUCAUCAAGAUGAUCUGGUUCGAGUUUUGGGUGAACGACCAUUCAAAUCAAGUGAAGUUACAAACUAUGACAGAUUUAAGGAAGGCUUUAAAGAGGAAGAGAAGGGUGCAGAAAUUCCCGUUAGCGGUAAUGAGGAGGAUGACAUUUCACCCGUACAGGUUGCCCCUGCAUAACUUUGGAGACAUUUGAGGGUUUGUACAUUUUUUUGUUUUUUCGUUUUAACUGAUUUUUGUACAAUUUUUAUUUAUGCUCAUAAUGCCAUUAAUGAAAUCUAAGCUUCAUAACUUCUUUGGCAUCUAUUUUGUAUUAUGUCCAGAAAUUUAUACGCCCCG